rnacentral:rRNA from 1 species
AAUUAUCACAACAAAAUUAUCUGCCAGAGAACUACUAGCAAUAGCUUAAAACUCAAAGGACUUGGCGGUGCUUUACAUCCCUCUAGAGGAGCCUGUUCUAUAAUCGAUAAACCCCGAUAGACCUCACCACUUCUAGCUUAAUCAGUCUAUAUACCGCCAUCUUCAGCAAACCCUUAAAGGGAAGAAAAGUAAGCACAAUAAUAUUACAUAAAAAAGUUAGGUCAAGGUGUAACCUAUGAAGUGGGAAGAAAUGGGCUACAUUUUCUAACCAAGAACACACUCACGAAAGUUUUUAUGAAAACUAAAAACUAAAGGUGGAUUUAGUAGUAAAUUAAGAAUAGAGAGCUUAAUUGAAUAGGGCCAUAAAGCACGCACACACCGCCCGUCACCCUCCUCAAGCAACACACUCAAAAUACUACAUAAUAAAAGUAAACCUAAAGCAAGAGGAGACAAGUCGCUAACAAGGUAAGCAUACUGGAAAGUGUGCUUGGAUAAAU